ensembl:rRNA 5S_rRNA 5S ribosomal RNA
GUCUACAGCCAUGCCACCCUAAACAAGCCCGAUCGAUCCCAUCUGAUCUCGGAAGCUAAGCAGGGUUGGGCCUGGUUAGUACUUGGAUAGGAGACCACCUAGGAAGACUAGGUGCUGUAGGCG